CAGUCGCCACGGUAAUACGGAGGGCGCGAGCGUUACCCGGAUUUACUGGGCGUAAAGGGCGUGUAGGCGGCCUGGGGCGUCCCAUGUGAAAGGCCACGGCUCAACCGUGGAGGAGCGUGGGAUACGCUCAGGCUAGAGGGUGGGAGAGGGUGGUGGAAUUCCCGGAGUAGCGGUGAAAUGCGCAGAUACCGGGAGGAACGCCGAUGGCGAAGGCAGCCACCUGGUCCACUUCUGACGCUGAGGCGCGAAAGCGUGGGGAGCAAACCGGAUUAGAUACCCCCGUAGUCCCUGUCUCUUAUAA
rnacentral:rRNA from 1 species